rnacentral:lncRNA from 1 species
AGGGAGGAUUCAAGAGUGACUGGUUGGUGAGGAAGUGGAGACAGCAUGUAGAGAAAGAAUAUUUCAAAUUUUCUAUGAGAGGAAACGAAAGAAAGGUAGCUUGAAGAGUAUAAAAGUCAGGAAAAAGUUUUUAACAGAAAUGUCUCAUGAGCACAAGACAGAAAGAAUAUUCAAAAGAAACUUCAAGAAUCUUAGCUUCUGAAGGACAUAUUUUUAGUGCAUAUACUGACUCUCACAUUUACCGAACCCCAGCUGCAGCAUUUGUCUCAGAGAACUGCUCUGCUCCUCCCAUUUAUCCCAUUAUUACUUUCAGUUGUGAGAUGAAAAUGUUCUCUUUGAAAUAAAUUGGCUCCUCUAAAUAAAGAAAUGUCCAAAUAGCUACUUCAGUCUCUUAUUUAAUCUCAAGUUAAAUCAAAGAAAAGAUUUCAGCAUAUAGAAACUCAUUCAAACCUGAAGUGACCUUGGUGUUUUUCUCAAUACAUCAAUCAUUGUUAUCACAUUUCUUAGUUUUCUUUUUUUUCAAUUUCUUUUUUUUUUAAAGAUUUUAUUUUUUUCCUUUUUCUCCCCAAAGCCCCCCAGUACGUAGUUGUACAUCCUCCAUUGUGGGUCCUUCUAGUUGUGGC